GUCCCCGUCGUCGCUUCGUGGAGGGGUUCCUUCUCGCUAACCUCUGCGCCCGGAAGUGGCAACAGGACUGCCACAUGCCCUCACGCCUAGUCUGUAAAGAACUUUGUUUAACCCGGAGGCGGGGCCAGCCAGCUCCGCCCCUCCAGCUGGACGCGGGAGCGAGGUUGAGGUUCGUACCCCUGGGUUCUCUCCAGGCCUGAGGCGGAGAGCCAGCCGCCUGCCUACCUCUGGGCUUUGAACGCCGGGUCUGGUGACUUCGCUUAAAGACCUCGGGCCGAAGGCCCGCCAGGCUCAACCUCGGUUCACAGGACUCCCGACUUGUGUGAGUCGUACACCGCUCUUUACCGUCUCUGGACCUAGGUGAUCUCGGCAGUAAAAUGGGGUGAAAUGACCCGACCUCCCCGGAGGAUGCCGCGCACGAUGUGUGCCUCAAGUUGGCUUCCACUGACCUGAACUGUUAAGAAAGCCCUCCUCAGUGACGCCUUCCCUGAAUCCACAGUGGAGAUUGCCGUUUCCCUGGAAUUAAUUCACCCACAUUUACCCAUUUCAUCCCUUUCCACCUUUUAUUUCUACCUUUCUGCCCCACUGAUCUCUAGAAUAGGUGCUGGGAGACGUUAGAGUAUUUGAUCUCCCACUCCCCAGUCAUCCCACUUACCGAGCAGUAAUUCUCUGCCUGGCUGCACAUUGGAAUCACUUGGGAAGCCUCUAAAAAUACUGAUGCCAGGGCUCUACCCCAAGCCAGUUAAAAUCUCCAGCGCUGGACCUGGGCAUUGGUACUUUUUGUAAAGCUUUCAGUUUACCAAGAUGAUGCCAGUAUAGCUAGUGAGAUGCAGUACGCCAUCUUCAGCCCCCUCGCCUCUGGAAGAGACACCAGACUGCAAAGGGCACCGCGUACAGAAGCUAACGGAACUUGAAUGACAAGACAAAAAGAGCAGAACCAGUUAGUGUGACACAACAUUCUAACAUGCCUGAUUCUUACAUCAAAUAUGGUAACUUGGGGGUUGGUGGGGGGAGACAAACAAGGAGAAUCCACUUGGGAACAAUUUGAUGAAGUUUGCAAACCAGCACUUUACCCCCAAAUUAACAACAGCUUGUAUGGAAAAAAAAUGCUCUUUUAAAAGUAUAUGGUUUGGACAGGUA